UACGUAGGGUGCAAGCGUUAUCCGGAAUUAUUGGGCGUAAAGAGCUCGUAGGCGGUUUGUCGCGUCUGCUGUGAAAACCGGAGGCUCAACCUCCGGCCUGCAGUGGGUACGGGCAAACUAGAGUGCGGUAGGGGAGAUUGGAAUUCCUGGUGUAGCGGUGGAAUGCGCAGAUAUCAGGAGGAACACCGAUGGCGAAGGCAGAUCUCUGGGCCGUAACUGACGCUGGGGAGCGAAAGCGUGGGGAGCGAACAGG
rnacentral:rRNA from 1 species